rnacentral:pre_miRNA from 1 species
CAAAUUAUAAUUUUACGGGUAGUUGGAACGUUUGCCCGCGUUUGCCGCUAGAAGUGCUGUUCCAACUGCAUUUAAAUUAGAGUUA